rnacentral:rRNA from 1 species
UACGUAGGGCGCAAGCGUUUAUCCGGAAUUAUUGGGCGUAAAGAGCUCGUAGGCGGUUUGUCGCGUCUGCCCGUGAAAGUCCGGGGCUCAACUCCGGAUCUGCGGUGGGGUACGGGCAGACUAGAGUGAUGUAGGGGAGACUGGAAUUCCUGGUGUAGCGGUGAAAUGCGCAGAUAUCAGGAGGAACACCGAUGGCGAAGGCAGGUCUCUGGGCAUUAACUGACGCUGAGGAGCGAAAAGCAUGGGGAGCGAACAGG